CCUGCUAAGCCUGCCUGCUGGUGCCCGCCUCGCCGCCUCCUGCAGCCCCAUCCCGAGAUGGGCCAGCUCCUGUCAGGGGACAUUGAGAGCCAAGAGCUGUCCCUUAGAGGUUACGAAUAAUCAGGCAACGACUAUUUCUCAACAUGUCUCUGAGUGCACAUAUGGGGGUUAAAUUCCUGAAAGUAACAUUGCUGGGUAAAAGCUCAGGCUUGACUCCACGAGAGAACAGAAGCUUGCAGAUGCCCAUGAAUCACUGGCGACGGAGAACCGGAAAUGGAGGCUCUGCGCUGGAGUAUUUUGUUAGUAACUCAGCUCACACCAGCCAGGUGGCCAACAGGAUGAGAUGUUCUGAAUGGUGAAUGAUCCUUGGUAAAGUUCUAACGGAGACAAAGCCACAUCUUCCUGAAGACUGCAUGGUAGUUUUAUUCCUGGGAAAUUCUAUAGAUUAUCAAUAUAAAACCAUUUAGAAAGAUAUGGGUGAAAUAGAGCUGGCUUCGAGGUCGGAUAAUCAUCAACAGAUUUCUCGAAUCCGCAGAUGUGGAACCCGCGGAUACAGAGGGCCGACUGUAUUCACUGUACUAGGCCAUUUUAUAUAAGGGACUUGAGCAUCCCUGGAUUUUGGUAUCUGCAGGGGCUCCUGGAACCGAUCCCCCGUGAAUACCAAGGGACGACUGUAUGUGGUUGUCCAGAAAGACAGAGGAAAGCCGUGAGGUGUACGGGGAUAAAUCCCUGUUAAUGUCAGACUGUCCUACACUUUAUAGGACAUUGAGCAUCCCUGCCCUGACUUCUGUCAAAUGCCAGGGGCUCUGAUCUUGUGACAAUCACAAAUGGCCUCAUAAAUUCCCCAAAUUUCCCCUAGGGGGCGGUAGAGCUCAGAUCGAGAACAACUGCCCGGCAUAUUCCCCAUCGCCCCGCUGUUUAAUUUAACACUUACCUUUGAGGUUGUUUUACACUCGGAGGUGGAAGUCAGCAUCCCUUUCAAGGUGGUAUUUGUUACAUAGGGAUAUUGUCAGGCAGUCCCUUUGCAUGGCAUUCUGCUGUUACAGGGCUACGGUAAGGGCGAGUCAUUUCGCACAUGAGCAAGCCAAUCAGGGAGGAAUGCUUACAAGUGGCCUGGCUGAGUCACAGGGUUGGGCAUUUGGAAUUUUGAUAGCUAUGGCCCAAAACUGCCUUCCUCGGGGGUAGAUUAAUCCACACUCCCCAGCAGAGUAAGAGUUCCAGGCAUCCGGCUGGGGGUUGGGGGGAAGGCAGUUCUGCAGUCUUAGCCAGGACCCUUCACCUCUGGAGGCCACCUCCUCAGACCGCACCCAGGGUGCUCCCAAUGAAGACUUGGGUGUCCAGAAACUUCCCAGUUCAUCUUCUCAAGCUAGGCAGGGGCUGGGGGGAGACAAGAGAGGCCUUUCCCUGGGUGGGCUGAUUCUAGCUAUUACAUUUAUUUCUUUUUUUUAACCUUCAAAAAAAAUAAUACAGGGACCUCCCUGGUGGUCCAGUGGGUAAGACUUCGUGCUCCCAAUGCAGGGAGCCCAGGUUCGAUCCUUGGU